CCUACGGGAGGCAGCAGUGAGGAAUAUUGGUCAAUGGACGAGAGUCUGAACCAGCCAAGUAGCGUGAAGGAUGACUGCCCUAUGGGUUGUAAACUUCUUUUAUAUGGGAAUAAAAUGUUCCACGUGUGGGAUUUUGUAUGUACCAUAUGAAUAAGGAUCGGCUAACUCCGUGCCAGCAGCCGCGGUAAUACGGAGGAUCCGAGCGUUAUCCGGAUUUAUUGGGUUUAAAGGGAGCGUAGGUGGAUUGUUAAGUCAGUUGUGAAAGUUUGCGGAUCAACCGUAAAAUUGCAGUUGAAACUGGCAGUCUUGAGUACAGUAGAGGUGGGCGGAAUGCGUGGUGUAGCGGUGAAAUGCUUAGAUAUCACGAAGAACUCCGAUUGCGAAGGCAGUUCACUGGACUGCAACUGACACUGAGGCUCGAAAGUGUGGGUAUCAAACAGGAUUAGAUACCCUAGUAGUC
rnacentral:rRNA from 1 species